AAUGAACGCUGGCGGCAUGCCUAACACAUGCAAGUCGAACGAGACCUUCGGGUCUAUUGGCGCACGGGUGCGUAACGCGUGGGAACCUGCCCUUAGGUUCGGAAUAACUCCCCGAAAGGGGUGCUAACACCGGAUAAUGUCUUCGGACCAAAGAUAUAUCGCCUUUGGAUGGGCCCGCGUUGGAUUAGCUAGUUGGUAGGGUAAAAGCCUACCAAGGCGACGAUCCAUAGCUGGUCUGAGAGAAUGAUCAGCCACACUGGGACUGAGACACGGCCCAGACUCUUGCGGGAGGCAGCAGUGGGGAAUGUUGGACAGUGGGGGGAAGGCUGAUCCAGCACUGCCGGGUGAGUGAUGAAGGCCUUAGGGUUGUAAAGCUCUUUUAACCGGGAUGAUAAUGACAGUACCGGGAUAAUAAGCUCCGGCUAACUCCGUG
rnacentral:rRNA from 1 species